GUGGAUAACCUGCCUUACACUGGGGGAUAACACUUAGAAAUAGGUGCUAAUACCGCAUAAGCGCACGGAGCCGCAUGGCUUAGUGUGAAAAACUCCGGUGGUGUAAGAUGGAUCCGCGUCUGAUUAGCUGGUUGGCGGGGUAGAAGCCCACCAAGGCGACGAUCAGUAGCCGGCCUGAGAGGGUGAACGGCCACAUUGGGACUGAGACACGGCCCAAACUCCUACGGGAGGCAGCAGUGGGGAAUAUUGCACAAUGGGGGAAACCCUGAUGCAGCAACGCCGCGUGAGUGAAGAAGUCAUUCGUGAUGUAAAGCUCUAUCAGCAGGGAAGAAAAUGACGGUACCUGAGUAAGAAGCCCCGGCUAACUACGUGCCAGCAGCCGCGGUAAUACGUAGGGGGCAAGCGUUAUCCGGAUUUACUGGGUGUAAAGGGAGCGUAGACGGCCAGGCAAGUCUGAAGUGAAAAUCCAGCGCUUAACGUUGGAAGUGCUUUGGAAACUGCCGGGCUAGAGUGCAGGAGGGGCAGGCGGAAUUCCUAGUGUAGCGGUGAAAUGCGUAGAUAUUAGGAGGAACACCAGUGGCGAAGGCGGCCUGCUGGACUGCAACUGACGUUGAGGCUCGAAGGCGUGGGGAGCAAACAGGAUUAGAUACCCUGGUAGUCCACGCGGUAAACGAUGAUUAC
rnacentral:rRNA from 1 species